CCUACGGGAGGCAGCAGUGAGGAAUAUUGGUCAAUGGGCGCGAGCCUGAACCAGCCAAGUAGCGUGAAGGAUGACUGCCCUACGGGUUGUAAACUUCUUUUAUAAAGGAAUAAAGUGAAGCACGUGUGCCUUUUUGUAUGUACUUUAUGAAUAAGGAUCGGCUAACUCAGUGCCAGCAGCCGCGGUAAUACGGAGGAUCCGAGCGUUAUCCGAAUUUGUUGGGUUUAAAGGGAGCGUAGAUGGGUUGUUAAGUCAGUUGUGAAAGUUUGCGGCUCAACCGUAAAAUUGCAAUUGAUACUGGCAGUCUGGAGUACAGUUGAGGUAGGCGGAAUUCAAGGUGUAGCGGUGAAAUGCUUAGAGAUCACGAAGAACUCCGAUUGCGAAGGCAGCUUACUAAACUGCCACUGACAUUGAUGCUCGAAAGUGUGGGUAGCAAACAGGAUUAGAUACCCGAGUAGUC
rnacentral:rRNA from 1 species